AGUGAACGCUGGCGGUAGGCCUAACACAUGCAAGUCGAACGGCAGCACAGUAAGAGUUUGCUCUUACGGGUGGCGAGUGGCGGAUGGGUGAGGAAUGCAUCGGCCUCUUCUUUUUCGUGGGGGAUAACGUAGGGCAACUUACGCUAAUACCGAAUAUGACCUACGGGUGAAAGCAGGGGAUCUUCGGACCUUGCGCGAUUGAAUGAGCCGAUGUCGGAUUAGCUAGUUGGCGGGGUAAAGGCCCACCAAGGCGACGAUCCGUAGCUGGUCUGAGCGGAUGGUCAGCCACACUUGAACUGAGACACGGGCCAGACUCCGACGGGAGGCAGCAGUUGGGAAUAUUGGACAAUUGGCGCAAGCCUGAUCCAGCCAUACCGCGUGGGUUAAGAAGGCCCUCCGGUUGUUAAGCCCUUUUGUUGGGAAAGGAAAGCAUCAGGUUAACACCCCGCUGUUCUGACGGUACCCAAAGAAUAAGCACCGGCUAACUUCGUG
rnacentral:rRNA from 1 species